UUGAUUGAAGCUUCCGAAACAACCCCUCAGGAAGGCUGUGUAUGGAGUCGCUUCACCCAAUCAUUCACUUCCUCCUCUAUUUGCUCGCCUAUUCCUGCGUCUACUCAUGUUUGUAUUUGUUGGUUUAUUUUAUUACCGUCUUCAUAGAGGAUUAGGCAGCCAGCUGGACAAAAUCCUCUUUGGGUACAGACAGCCCUACUGAUUGCCCAUGGGUCUUCACGACGUGCUUUGCAUCGACAAGGGCAGGACUGGCCUAGGCCAGGCUGCCUCCACCCGUGCCUGGCCUCUGAGCCCUGUACCUGGUCACUUCUGGCUGGCGGGCCCGUGGAAAGACCUUCAUCCUCUGGAACGGCACCCCAAGAGCCCUGCAGUGACCCAUCUACUCAGUCAUUGUGUAUAUAUUUCAAGCUGCCUCGCUCUGCAGUUGCUCAAGUGCCCAGGUUUCUGAAGAAGCGGAAGUAGGGGUGGAUGUGUGGACUCCUGCUGCCACGCCAUUCUGGAUUUCCGUUAAGUGGGGGACUGUCUGCCCACGCCUCCACUAGUAAUGUGUUUGUAGGCAGUUGCCAGUACUCUUGGGAAAGAGUAUGGGGGACGCAGGAGGAGAAAAAGCAGGGAGAGAGGGGGUAGAAAUGAUAUACAUACAGUAUUCAUGUAUGAAAUUCUCCCAAAAAUGUAAAAAAUAAUAAUAAUGAUAGAGAAAUAAAUAUUGGCUUCUUUUUGGCUGUC